CCUACGGGAGGCAGCAGUGGGGAAUAUUGCACAAUGGGGGAAACCCUGAUGCAGCGAUGCCGCGUGCGUGAAGAAGUAUCUCGGUACGUAAAGCUCUAUCAGCAGGGAAGAAAAUGACGGUACCUGACUAAGAAGCCCCGGCUAACUACGUGUCAGCAGCCGCGGUAAUACGUAGGGGGCAAGCGUUAUCCGGAUUUACUGGGUGUAAAGGGAGCGUAGACGGGAGCACAAGUCUGGAGUGAAAUCCCGGGGCUUAACCCCGGAACUGCUUUGGAAACUGUGCGGCUGGAGUGCAGGAGGGGUAAGCGGAAUUCCUAGUGUAGCGGUGAAAUGUGUAGAUAUUAGAAGGAACACCGGUGGCGAAGGCGACUUACUGGACUGUAACUGACGUUGAGGCUCGAAAGCGUGGGGAGCAAACAGGAUUAGAUACCCUUGUAGUC
rnacentral:rRNA from 1 species